rnacentral:rRNA from 1 species
CCUACGGGUGGCAGCAGUGAGGAAUAUUGGUCAAUGGCCGGAAGGCUGAACCAGCCAAGCCGCGUGAGGGAGGAAGGCGCAGAGCGUCGCAGACCUCUUUUGCCGGGGGACAAAAGGCCGGACUCGUCCGGUCCUGAGGGUACCCGGAGAAAAAGCAUCGGCUAACUCCGUGCCAGCAGCCGCGGUAAUACGUAGGGGGCAAGCGUUAUCCGGAAUUACUGGGUGUAAAGGGAGAGUAGGCGGCAAGGUAAGCGAUAUGUGAAAGCCUUAAGCUUAACUUAAGGAUGGCAUAACGAACUAUCUAGCUAGAGUACAGGAGAGGAAAGCGGAAUUCCUAGUGUAGCGGUGAAAUGUGUAGAUAUUAGGAAGAACACCAGUGGCGAAGGCGGCUUUCUGGACUGAAACUGACGCUGAGGCUCGAAAGCGUGGGGAGCGAACAGGAUUAGAUACCCCGGUAGUC